CAAGAAAAUAAUUUCUAUUAAUAUGAGGAAGGAUUUUCUAAAGUGAUUGAUGCAAGUAGUAGUAUACAUUUAUUAUUUCUCCAUCUUACAUUUUUCUAGAAUACGCAUCACUGUGAUAUCUAAGUGAUGCGUAUCUUAUAAAUGGCAAGAGCUUUACAUUUAAAUCUGAAUCAUUAACUUAAUCUGUAGUUGUUAUGGAUAACAAACACAAAGCAGAUCUUGUCCUGAACCUGUAAAUCACAUUUACUAGCUCUUCACACAUCAUACAUUUACAUUUUAUCCCCAUCUACUGUGACAGGUGCAGAGGAUCUAUUUCUAUGUCUUUGGCACAGGUGUAUGUCUGGGUCUCUUUCUUAUCUUGGUCAGAAUUCUACCAGGCAAGCUGUCCUCAAGCCUGCGAGCGGCUGGUGCUUUUCUGAUGUUUCUGGUGAUGCUGAGGUCAGGGGCAGAUUGUCGGCUGGAGGCUAAGGGUGACGUCAGUGCGUACCUUGCUGAGAGAGUUAAUCUCCCACUGGCAAGAGAGAGAGAGAGAGAGACAGUCUAAUAAUCAUCUCACUGAGGAGAUUGGCACAUUUGGGAUCACAUACUGUACACUGUUUUUCCGUGGCUACAAAAGAACGGGCAAAUACCACAAUUACUAACACUCUACCGAUACAUGUGUGUGUCUGUAGAGUGUUUUAUAGGUUUAAGACAAGUUCUGUUUUGUGUUUGGGAUCCACAGCAACUACAAAGAAAAUUAAUGUUUCAAAGCAGCACGCUUUCUUUCUCCAGGUUGAUCGGCUGAAAGGAGGCUUUGGUGUUGAUCCGUUCUCUCUGGCUUUAAAAACAACAAUAACAACAACAACCCACCAACAACUCACCCUCACCGACUGCUAGUGACUAAAUGCUCAGGCUGAAUUAUACAGUCACAUAUUGAAGGCAAGGGAGGAAGAGAGCGAGCUGGCGCUGCUACGUCUGCUGCUUCUACGGGAACUUUUGAAAAUAAAUCUUUACAACUCUUCUUCA
rnacentral:lncRNA from 1 species